GAAGGUGGUUUUGGACCUGUGUACAAGGGCAUAUUUUUAGAUGGGCAGGAAAUUGCAGUAAAGAGGCUUUCAAUGAGUUCUGGACAAGGGCUUGAAGAGUUUAAAAAUGAAGUUCUGUUAAUUGCCAAACUUCAGCACCGCAAUCUUGUGAAGCUUCUUGGUUGUUGCAUUGAAGGAGAUGAAAGAAUGUUAAUUUAUGAGUACAUGCCCAAUAAAAGCUUGGACUUCUUUAUAUUUGGUUUGUUCCUAUUCAUAAACUUUUCCUUUGAUAAUUUAAGUUUAGGUUAAUUAACAAUAAUAUCAGUGAGGAAUUGUUCAGAUCAAUCACGAAGCAAGCUAUUGGAUUGGAACAAGCGCAUCAACAUUAUUGAUGGAAUUGCUAGGGGGCUUCUAUAUCUUCAUCAAGACUCAAGACUCAGGAUCAUCCACAGAGAUCUAAAAGCUAGCAAUGUUUUACUAGAUAAAGAUAUGAACCCAAAAAUUUCAGAUUUU
rnacentral:misc_RNA from 1 species